AACGAACGCUGGCGGCAUGCCUAACACAUGCAAGUCGAACGGGAUCCUAGCUUGCUAGGUGAGAGUGGCGGACGGGUGAGUAACACGUGGGAAUCUGCCUUUUGGUUCGGGAUAACCGCGGGAAACUGCGGCUAAUACCGAAUGCCCUCGAGAGAGGAAAGAUUUAUCGCCAGAAGAGGAGCCCGCGUCCGAUUAGGUAGUUGGUGGGGUAAAGGCCUACCAAGCCGACGAUCGGUAGCUGGUCUGAGAGGAUGAUCAGCCACACUGGGACUGAGAUACGGCCCAGACUCCUACGGGAGGCAGCAGUGGGGAAUAUUGGACAAUGGGGGCAACCCUGAUCCAGCAAUGCCGCGUGAGUGAUGAAGGCCUUAGGGUUGUAAAGCUCUUUUGCCAGGGAAGAUGAUGACUGUACCUGGAGAAUAAGCCCCCGGCUAACUUCGUGCCAGCAGCCGCGGUAAU
rnacentral:rRNA from 1 species